rnacentral:rRNA from 1 species
UACGGAGGGUGCGAGCGUUGUCCGGAAUCAUUGGGCGUAAAGGGCGCGUAGGUGGCGCUGCAAGUCGGUGGUGAAAGCUCGACGCUUAACGUCGAGUCGGCCAUCGAAACUGCAGGGCUCGAGCACUGUAGGGGCAGAUGGAAUUCCGGGUGUAGCGGUGGAAUGCGUAGAGAUCCGGAAGAACACCGGUGGCGAAGGCGGUCUGCUGGGCAGUAGCUGACACUGAUGCGCGACAGCGUGGGGAGCAAACAGG